GACGAACGCUGGCGGCGCGCUUAACACAUGCAAGUCGAACGGAAAGGCCUGCUUUCUCUUGUGGAUUGCGGGUACUCGAGUGGCGAACGGGUGAGUACCACGUGAGUGAUCUGCCCCCAACUUGGGUAUAAGCCUGGGAAACUGGGUCUAAUUCCCGAUAGGACUGCAGGGUGGUGCCUGUGGUGGAAAACGAUUUUCUAGUGGUUGGGGAUGAGCUCGCGGCCUAUCAGCUUGUUGGUGGGGUAAUGGCCUACCAAGGCGGCGACGGGUAGCCGGCCUGAGAGGGUGGACGGCCACAUUGGGACUGAGAUACGGCCCAGACUCCUACGGGAGGCAGCAGUGGGGAAUAUUGCACAAUGGGCGGAAGCCUGAUGCAGCGACGCCGCGUGGGGGAUGACGGCCUUCGGGUUGUAAACUCCUUUCGACCGCGAGGAAGCCACCUGGUUGGAAGGGUGGUGACGGUAGUGGUAGAAGAAGCACCGGCUAACUACGUG
rnacentral:rRNA from 1 species